GAUAAUUUUCUUGUGUUGCAUUCUUGUGUAAGACAUUACCAUCCGAGUUCUCCCUGCUGCUAUUCUAUUGUCAACUUAUUGAAAGAAUGUUUGAAUUUGAAGGGGCAUCAAAUCAAUCUUUUUAAGCUUGUCAGACUUUCAGCUUCAUAACUAGCUUUUUGGAUCAACAAUCCUGCAGGUCUGAAAGCCCUUCACUGUGGCCGUUUU
rnacentral:misc_RNA from 1 species